ACUCUGGCUGAAUAAAAUCUGUAGAAGCAUCUCCAGAUUUCAAUUUUUAAAGAACGUUUUCUGGAGGAGAUAAGAUCUUCACUAAAAAGAUAAAUCUAUGUCCUGCCAUAUGUAAUGAGGAAAGAACAGAAGUCUUCUCCAACGCACAAUAGAUUGAUCAGAAGAAUGGUCUCUUGAGAUAGAUUAUCUCAGUAGCUCUGAGGCCUCCUUCCUUUAACGGUGAACCUGAUUCCCAAGACCAAAAUAGAAGGCUCCAACCAAGAGGGAGAGAAAACGAAAACCUGAGAGACUUGAGGCUCUCUCUUCAAGCCGUAGAAGUAAGUGACUGUGUCAUCAUCGGCGCUUGGGCCCAUGUGUUAGCACAGCUAGUGACUCCUGUCCUGUACUCUUCAGUCUUCUCGGCAGCACAAAUACAAAGAUUAAGAGUAGUCAUUCUGUAACACACAGAGAAAAGGAAUACGUUGUGAUUUAAACUUCUUAUCAUUAACUGUGGCACCUGGCGUAAGUACAUCUAAAUAAGCAUCCUAUUUCCUGAGAUGGAAAAGUGAAGACUCACACCCUAUUUACUUGAUAAUACCUGACUUUCAAAGGAACUUUAUGUACUAGGUCUGGUCCUAGAGCUUGCCAAGAGCUUUCUCACAGUGCUACAGGGACAAAGAGACAGAUAAGGUUCUUAGCCUAAACAGAAAGGAGGGGAAAAUAGUGACUGUAAACUAAUACUCUGAAAAUAAUGUACCUAACCCGACAGCCUAUAAACAGGAAAUGACCAUCUGCUGGGGAAGUGAGCCACUGUGGCUGACAGCAUUUAAACAAAAGAAACGGCAGCUAUAAAAGGCAGAGUUAGGCAGAGCCAUGGCAUGACUAAGGACUUUUAACCAGAGUACAGGGUCCUUUGUAAAAAGGCAGGAAGUUUUCACAUCAUGAGAAGUCCGUGUGGCGGUGCGAGAAGUCUGGAAGUACACAGAAAGGGGGAACCCUCAUGAAAUGACAACUGGGAUCGCCAGUCACUCUCAUCAUCCUUGAGGAUUUGCUCAUUGUCACCUUCUCCAAAUCUAAUAAUUUCCCUCAUUUUAGAAUUCUUGUGAUUUCAGUAUCAAUGGGGGAAGAUCCUUCCUGUCCCCCGACCUCUGGGGUCCUUGUCCUCCUCGCCUGUAGGGAAUGUACUGCCCAUCUUACCCCAGUUACCCGUUCUUAAAGUCGCAUACCCUCCCAUUAUCCAUAACUGCACAUUCUUCCCUGAUUUAAGCUUUCAGGGCUCCGAUUAGCUUCUCCCCUCUUCCUACUUACUCCCUCUAAAUGCACGACUUCGGCAACUCCUUGAACACGCGGGACCUACGACUGACUGUAGGGACCACAUCUUUACAGCUUCAUUCUUCACUUCCCUCCUUAACCAGCUUCAAUCCCUGUACCUGGAGCCCAAUGGCUAGAAGUAACUAGGAAAACAAACAAAAACCUUCAACUGAAAACUAGUCUCAUUUUAAGUUCAUUACCACUAACCUCCAGGGGGUACCUCGCAAUCUUUCCUUUUCCACUCACUAAGCUAACUGUUCCCAUACCUCUUCACUCUUUGAAUCUGCAGCAUCGCUUCCCCACUCCUCAAGUGCAGCAGGUGACCAUGCUACCAUCUCUAUUUACAAGAUCUCAACAACAGACCUACCAACCCAGCCCUACCCUAUGAGAGACUGUGCCCCCCUUCCUGUUACUGUGGAUGAACUGUCCAUGCUUGUAGGCAAGGCCAUCUCUUCCCUACUUAGAUGUUAGAGCUUAUUCCCUUUUUCUUCCUCAGGUUCCAAAAACUCUCCCCUUCUCUCCUAGAUCGUUGAUUUUCCUCUCUGUCCUGGGGCAUGUCCAUCAACAAACGGACGUGCUGCUAUUUUUUCUCAUGUUGUUAUUCCUUGGCUCCUUUGCCUCUCCAACCAUUCUGCUCCCCUCUGCAGCAAAAUUCCUUGAAAGAAUUGUCUAUUCUCCCUCUUCUCCCAUUCUCUCUUACACCUACUCCCGUCAAGCUUUGGUCCCAACCACCCCAGUGACAUAGCACGUUUCAAGGUCCCCAGUAACCUCCACACUGCCAUGAGGAGUCAGUUCUCCAUUUUCAGCAGCAUCUGAUGCUGCGGACCUCGCCCUCCUUCUUCAACACUCUAUUAUUUGGAUUUAGGGAUUGUACCCCCUCUUAGUCCUCAUUCCACGUGGUACUACUUCACCGGGUAAUCUUUCUCAGUGUCUUCUGCCAGCUCCUCAAGGCCUUGACUUUGUGCUCAGGGGCGCAUCCUUGAGUCUCUCUCUGUGCUCCCUCCCUAGGUGACCCUACUGUCUCCAGGCUCUGAAUACGGUCUCCGGGCUGAUGACAAUCACAUUACACCCGCAUCACAACCUCUCCUCUGAACUCCUGACUCCUUAACCAACUUUCCACUCACACUUCACUGCCACAGAAUGUCUAAUAGGCAGCUGUGCAGAAAAGAGUUAACACGGCAGGCCUCUGACUACUGUCCUUAAAAAGGCUGGCCUGCAGGGUGGGCCCAGGCUGGCGUCUAGGAAUUUAGACUCCAGGAGGUUUCCCACGGUUCCUUGAUAAGAAUGGCUCACCCUGCCUAAACUACCCAUGUAAAGAAUGUUGUGAUGAACACUGGCUUUCCUUCUGAGAAACGGGAAUUUCAGUAUAUGCCGUGCAGAGGAUGGCUGCGUGACCAGAACUCCUUAGAGAAAUUGUUGAACUCAGGUCUGGAGCAAGAAAUGUAUGAGGUGAACCUGAAACAUCUUGUCAUCCCAGAAAGUAAGAAAACUACCAGAAGGUGCUAGGAUGGUGUCAGAAGAACUCAGGGGUCAUCUUAAAGAAGUUCCCAUUGGCCAAAGUUGAGUACUCUGAGCAUCAUUGAGAAUGAUUACUAUAAUGGAUUGGAACACACCCAAUUUGUUUCAAUGCAUGAGUUCACAAAGAUAACUAAAACAAACUUUCUCAGUGACCUUGGGAGGAUACUGGUGUCUAAGUAAUUGUUUCAAAAGCUGGUGAAUUAAGGGGAGCCUGGGUGGCUCAGUCAUUAAGGAUCUGCCUUUGGCUCAGGUCAUGAUCCCAGGGUCCUGGGAUCAAGCCGCACAUUGGCUU